rnacentral:lncRNA from 1 species
AUGUCCGUUCCCUCACCACCACCCCCAUCACCACCAUCACCAUCAUUCACCACAAUCAUCACCAUCAUCACCACCACCACCAUUAGUACAGUCAUCACCACCAUCAUCACCAUCAUCACCAUCAUCACCAUCAGUACAGUCAUCACCACCAUCAUCACCACGUUACUAUCACCACUGUUGUCAUCACCACCACCAUCAUCACCAUCAUUCACACAAUCAUCAGGAUCAUUAUUAUCAUCACCAUCAUCACCACCAUCAUCACCAUCAUUCACCACAAUCAUCAGAAUCAUCACCAUCAUCACCACCACUGUCAUCACCAUCAUCACCACCAUCAGUACAGCCAUCACCACCAUCAUCACCACGUUACUAUCACCUCUGUUGUCAUCACCACCACCAUCAUCACCGUCAUUCACACAAUCAUCAGAAUCGCCAUCAUCACCAUCAGUACAGUCAGCACUGUCAUCACCAUCAUCACUAUCGCUGUCAUUAUCAUCAGCAGCAGCAUCGGCACCAUUGUCAUCACCAUCACUAACUCCCCAUCACCAUCAUCACCAUCAUCACAUCACCAUCGUCCGUCAGCUGGAUCCCCCUCCUCCUCCUCCUCACUGCCACAGCCACCAUCUAGACUUGUUUCAAGCUAAUCUGUCUGGUGGGGGUCAGCUAAGCAACAGAGCCCUCGAGUCCCACGUGAGCACCAGCAUCCUCAUUUACAGAGGAGGGUGUGGAGCUCCGGACUCACACCAAGGAGAGCUGGAAGGAGCGCCUCUUUUGUGCAGUGCUGGGGCCUGCCACCAGGCUGCGAGGAAGCUAUCCUGUGCUGUGGGAGGAGCCCCACAGGCUCGCGAUCGGAAGGGCAGGUGCAAGGAGUGGCCAUGUCCUGAAGAAGAGCGUCAAUUCCCUUCCGGGAUCCUGUCCACCACUGAGCCCAGGCUUCCCUGGGACCCGUCCAUCCCCAGGGUGGGCCCCGCCUCUCCUCUGAGAGCACCUGGUCAGGUGUGUGUCGUCUUGGGUCACUGUAACUCUGCCUUUCAAAUAAGAUGA